UACGUAGGGCGCGAGCGUUAUCCGGAAUUAUUGGGCGUAAAGAGCUCGUAGGCGGUUUGUCGCGUCUGCUGUGAAAACUGGAGGCUCAACCUCCAGCCUGCAGUGGGUACGGGCAGACUCGAGUGCGGUAGGGGAGAUUGGAAUUCCUGGUGUAGCGGUGGAAUGCGCAGAUAUCAGGAGGAACACCGAUGGCGAAGGCAGGUCUCUGGGCCACUACUGACGCUGAGAAGCGAAAGCAUGGGGAGCGAACAGG
rnacentral:rRNA from 1 species